CUCCUUGUCAGCGUUUGGGUUAAAAUUAAGGCUAUCAUAGCAUAGAUGGUGUACACUGUUUGAUUAUAAGAUUUAACUUUCGUAAAUGAUCACACAGUUGUACAACUCAAAAGAAGUUCCACUAGUGUUUUUACAUCUCAGUUUAGUUUCUGCUUGCUAAACCUUACUCUUGGGAAAUUGUUCAGUUUCAAGCUGAAGAGAAGGAAGGGAAGUUAAUUUUUAAAAUUCCUUUCUAAAGUCUGCACAAGAGAUUCCCUUCCCACUUUUUGAAAUUUUUGAAAA
rnacentral:lncRNA from 1 species